rnacentral:rRNA from 1 species
UACGAGGGGUGCAAGCGUUGUUCGGAAUUACUGGGCGUAAAGCGUGAGGAGGCGGCUCGUUAAGUCUGAUGUGAAAGCCCUGGGCUUAACCCAGGAACUGCAUCGGAAACUAGCGGGCUAGAGUUCGGGAGAGGGUCGUGGAAUUCUUGGUGUAGAGGUGAAAUUCGUAGAUAUCAAGAGGAACACCGGUGGCGAAGGCGGCGACCUGGACCGACACUGACGCUAAUACACGAAAGCGUGGGGAGCAAACAGG